CCCUAACUUUGCAAACAAAAUGAAAAAAAGAAGAGGAAAAUGGAGGUACCAAAGACGAUUUAGCACACAACCUCUCCAAUCUACUUACGAGUUCUACCGUUUGUUUCCCUGGAAAAUAUAUGAGACUUAAUAUUUUUAUUUUGUUAGUUUAUUUGUGUGUGUAUUUCAUCUUGUUGUGUUCAUUACUCAGAUCCCUAUCGCUUUUAUUUCUGUUCCAUUUUUCCUCUUUAUUUUCUAAUUUUGGGUAUUAUUUACUCAGAUCCCCUUUCUUUUUAUUAUUGUUUUUUUUUCUCUUAUAUUUUAGCUAGAAAUCGACGAUGCAAGUUACUGCUGGUCUCAUUGCUGCUGGUAACAAGUUAUUGCUUAAAAUUCAUGGUAACAAAUCUACUUCAAAGGAAGUUAUUCAUAUUCCUUCGUAUAGAAGCGAAGUUAUUUACGGUGGAACUUAGUUCUCCAGCUCUCGUAAGUUUGUUCCCAGUUUUGUAUUUGCCAUCUAUACCAGGGGGUGUUGUCUGUAAGAUGUUGAAGCAAGCGAUAUGGAAGGUGUUGAGCAAAAGGGUAGUUUCAAAUUCUGGUGAUAAACUUCUUUUGCCUUGUUUGUACUUGCCCACGACUUCUUUUCACGCUGGACAGAUACAUUAACAGUUGUGCAUUAAGUGGAGAUUUCAAGGGAACUCUUUUGAAGGUCCAAUACCAUCCAGUUUAGGAAAUCUAACCUCAUUGACUUCUUUGGACCAAAUAGAGAGCACAAGUGAGAGCGAAUGCAGUGCAAGUGAUGAAGUGCUUGUUGUUCCUUAUGAUAACUUAGCACCUAUGUCUUGUGAUAUUACUGAAUCUAAGCAGCUUUUGGAUAAGCUUGUUGUGGUGAAGUAUAAUGGAGCUUUGGGAAAGAAUAUGGGUUUCGGUGGUCCCGAAUGGGAGUUGGAGAAUACGAUCAAAGGGAAAACAUCAGAUAUGGUGAUUCCCAGCCAAGCAGUGGCUUCUUAGACACCCAACAUUUUGCACAACCAAACAUGACCACAACUUUUAAACCUACAUGUUGAGGUUGCUACACACAAGAUUCACACUCAAGGAGCAAGAAACAUCUCAAGAACUCAUUGGG